UUUAACUCGAGUGUUCUUCACUUAUGUUCUUUCCUUUUCUUUUGCAGAGUUUCUUCAAGGAUUACGUGGGGGUUCCUUUGGUGAUGGAGCCCAACUUCAAUGAUUAUAGCUGUCAGUUCAAAUUUGGGGUCAAUCCUCCAUUGCCGGAGAAUGAUGAUACCCUGAAACAGCCCUGCCUGGAUAUAUGCCCAAUUGCUAAUAAACGAAGG